rnacentral:lncRNA from 1 species
UAUAACCAUGUUAUUAAUACCGCUGCUUAAGGUAAUUCACUUCUGAGCAGGGUGCAGAACAGUAAACUAUAAUUUAAACAAGAAUCGAGACCUAAUUUAAAUCAUCGGAUCUACUGCGGAAAAAGGCAAACAGAACGACUAUAUUCUGCACGUGAUUUAGAGCUUCGCCUCGGUGCCAUUUCCGGGAGACCUAGAAAGUUCCAAGUUCUGAUCUCCCCUUCCCUACCUCUUUUCUUGACGUCUCUGGAACAAGCUAUCUGAAAGGAGAAAUAGUCACAUCACAAUUUUUUUUUUCUGGGCUCAUGUGAAUAUUGUUUCAGGGACAAGAAGAAAAAAAAAUUUGUCUUCUCUAUUUCCUUAAGAAGGUCAGCAAGAUGGAACAGUUGCAUUUCAUAUGCAGCCUCUCGAAGGACAUUCAUUUUCUCCAGCAGAGCCCCAGGGUGGACAAGGAGGGCCAGCUGUGUGCAGCGUCUGUUGUGUACAGCAUUCAGGACAAUGUCCUCUUGGAUCCCGAGCUCUCCACACAGACAGAGCAGAUAAAGGAAGGUCCCUCUCCUGGUCUUCCUUCCAGGGAGGCUGUUGCUGAGAGAGGUUAAGGGACCUCCCAGAGUCCUCCUCAGGUGGGAGCGGAAGGUUGGCAUUGCUGACCUCCCAUAAGCUUUUACCUGAACUUGGGCUCUGCCUGUCUUUGUUCUGAGGAAUGAGACUGCAAAGAAGCUCCCGAUCUGAAAAGGUGGCAUUUGCUAAGUUAGAAAAUGGAAGUACCACCCAGUCUGGGGGAUCCCAUAGGCACCCAAGAGUGCACCAAGCCACUAGGACCAAGCUCACCUGAGAGUCCCACCCUGCUCGGAAUAUGCAGACUUGGUGUCCUGUCGCUUUAAAGCACUCCAUGCCUGGAAAUGCCACGGCCCACAUGGAAUGGGCACAGCCAACAACUCUCCAAGGAGCCCCAGCAAUGAAUGAUGAGCAUCUCCCCUGAACCCAUCUCCCCAUGUCCGGUGUUUAAAGUGAAUUGAAAUGAAUAUCUGAUAAAUGAAUAAACCUGUAAAUGGAAUCAAAAACCUUAUGAACUUGAAGGAGAAAUAGGAGUCCCAGGUCUGUUAAGUCUAAAUUGAAUAAAUCUGAUCAACUGCCUGACAAUUUCUGCCAACAGCUUUUGAAGAGGAAGAAAAGGGGUGAGCAGAGAAAUUGGGUAGAGGAGAGGGAAGAGCGAGUGGGGUAGGGGAGGCAGGCAUGACUCAGUAAUGAAGCUAUCACCAGGAGUCCCCAGUGUUCCUUACCUGGACUAAUAAAUGGAUGACAAUAGGAGUUCCUUGCAAGUCUGUCUGCUCCUGUGUGUCUGCCCAGAGGACACCUCUAGAGAAUGAGAGAUUUGCAUAAAAUGGGGCCAAAGUCUCCUUUUGGGCCUUGCUGGACAAGGAGCUGAGGAAGAACUCUGGAGUCCUGGAAUCAGCUACUGGGCCUAGAUGAUCUCACCUGCUAGGAUGGGUCUGUAUGUUUGGGUAGCUUGAGCUGGAGGCAGGGAGGUCACAUUGAGGAUGCGCUCAAUGGCUCUCGAUUUGGCCUCUGCCACUCUUUGUUCUGUUGGGUAACUUACUUCCUGCAGUGGUUUUAAACAUGGCCACAGACUUCUUUAACACUCAUCUUAGUGAGAGGUGGUGGUGGUGGAUCUGUGUCUUCUUCUCUUGAAUCUAGGUGGCUUUGUGACUCCACUAAUACAGAACAGUGGCAUUGAUGCUGUCUGACUUUCCAGGCUGGGCUGGAAAAGGUUGUGCAACUUCUGCCUGAGUUUCUUGGGACACUGUCAUUGGGGGAAAACAGCCCCUAUGUAGGAAAUCCAAUUGCCCUGAGAGUGCCAUGCUGGAGAGGUGUUCCUGUUCAAGGCCAUGCCCCACUGAGCUCCCGGCCAGUGGCCAGGCUGGCCGUGGGGAAUGAACCCCGUGAGCCACUCAGUCUCGCCCAGCCUUCAGAUGACUGCAGUUCCAGCCCAUGUGUGACUGCAGCAGCUAAGUCACAGCUGCCUCGUCAAACUCUCCCCAAAUUUUUGACCUGCAAAAGUACAAACGCUAUAAAAUUAUUGUUUUAAGCUACUAAUUCAGGAGUAAUUUGUUAAUAGCAACCAAAACACACCCCUUCUUGGGUUUCAAUUUUUUUUCUGAACCAUGAAGGGUUAGACUAGAUAAUUUUUAAAACCAUACUUUGAAAGUUUUAAAUAGUAGAUGAACUUUUUUCAAUUGUUUUUAUUGUAGUAAAAUAUACAUAAAAUUUACCAUCUUAAACAUUUUUAAGUGUACGGUUCAGUGGUAUUAAAUAUAUUCACAAUGUUGUGUAACCAUCAUCACCAUCCAUCUCCGUAACUCAUUUCGUCCUGCAAAACUGAAACUCUGUACACAUUAAACAAUAACUCCGUCUUCCCCUUUCUCCUCCAGCCCCUGACAUCCACCAUUCUACUUUCUGCCUCUAUGAUUUAGACUACUCUAGGUAUCUCACAUAAGUGGAAUCAUACAAUGUUUGCCUUUUGGGCCUGGUUUAUUUCACUCAGCAUAAUGUUUUCAUGGUUCAUCCAGGUUGUAGUAUGUACCAGGAUUUCUUUCCUUUUUAAGACUGGAUAAUAUUUCAUUGUAUGUAUAUACAACAUUUUGCUUAUCCAUUCAUUUGUUGAUAGACACUUUUGUUUUUGCCAUGUUUUAGCUAUUGUGCAUUAAUGCUGGUGUGAACAGGAGUGUACAAAUGGAAAGAACCUGCUUCCAAUUAUGUCAAAUAGAUACCCAGAAGUGGAAUUGCUGAUUUACAUGGUAAUUUUAUUUUUAAUUUUUUGAGAAACCACCACACCGUUUUUCACAGUGGCUGUCCCAUUUUUGCAUUCCUGCCACCAGUGUACAAGGAUUCCAGUUCCCCACACCCUCAUCAACACUUGUUAUAUAUAUAUUUUUACAAUAGCCAUGAUAAUGGAUAUGAAGAGGUGUCCCAUUGUUGCUUUGAUUCACAUUUCUCUAAUGAUUAGUGAUGCUGGACAUCUUUUCAAAGCAUGUUUUUUUUAAAAAAGGAGUUCAAACAUCAUAAAAGGAUAACAGAAAUUAAACAGUUUUCUUCCCUACUCCUGAGUUCUUCUCACCACUGAGAGGUAACUAACUUUAACAUAUGACUGAUUCUUCCAGAAAUGCUUGUUGUGAUUACAACAUAAUUAUAUCUUUAUAAAAUUACACAUAGAAUUAUAUCAUAGUUAAUUUUUGUAAUUUCCUUUUUUUCCACUUACUGAUACAGAUUGGAGAUAUUUCCAUACCAGUAUACAUAGGUCUACUUCAUUCUUAAUAUCUGCAUAAUUCCAUGGCAUGGCUUGGUCAACGUUUACUUCUCUAGUCACUGUUGAUGGGUAUUUCAGUUGCUUCUAGGUUGUUUGGUUGGUAUUUUUUGCUACUGUAAUAAUACUGCAUUGACUAUUAUUGUAUACUUGUUUAUGCUUUUGUAGGUCAAAUUCCUAGAAGUACAGUUUCUGGGUCAAAGGAUAUGCAUUGACAAUUUUGAUAAUUAUUGCCAAAUUUGUCUUUUAAAGAGGUGGCACAUAUUUAUACCACCACAAUGAGGAAGCUAGUAUCCUGCUACCUUUAUUAUCUUUCAGGUUUUGUCAUCUGCUGGAAGAAAAUAAUAUUCUGUUUUCAAGUUUUCAUUUCUUUAAUUGUGAAGUUGAGCAUUUUUAUAUGCACUUUGAUGAUUUUUUAUACAAAAUUUCAAUCAUGCAAAAGUAGAGAGACUAUAUCAUGAACUCCCAUAAGUAGAUCACCCCAAGUCAACUGUCAUUAUGGGUUUACCACUUGUUUCAAGAUUGAUGAUUUUUAAUUUCUAUUUUUCAUUGAAUAGCUAAUUUAUAUCCUUUGCCAAUUCUAUAGGGCUGUUCAUAUUUUGUUUUUUUUUAAAUGGUUUGUCGGAGCUUUUCUUAUCAUAACAAAUUAACUUUUUGCCAUUAUAUGUUACAAAUAUUUUUCCUAUUAAACUUGUGUUUUGAUAUUAUUAA